rnacentral:rRNA from 1 species
UGGCGGCAUGCCUUACACAUGCAAGUCGAACGGCAGCGCGGGGCAACCUGGCGGCGAGUGGCGAACGGGUGAGUAAUAUAUCGGAACGUACCCUGGAGUGGGGGAUAACGUAGCGAAAGUUACGCUAAUACCGCAUACGAUCUAAGGAUGAAAGUGGGGGAUGCGCAAGCACCUCAUGCUCCUGGAGCGGCCGAUAUCUGAUUAGCUAGUUGGUGGGGUAAAGGCCUACCAAGGCAUCGAUCAGUAGCUGGUCUGAGAGGACGACCAGCCACACUGGAACUGAGACACGGUCCAGACUCCUACGGGAGGCAGCAGUGGGGAAUUUUGGACAAUGGGCGAAAGCCUGAUCCAGCAAUGCCGCGUGAGUGAAGAAGGCCUUCGGGUUGUAAAGCUCUUUUGUCAGGGAAGAAACGGUGGAGGCUAAUAUCCUCUGCUAAUGACGGUACCUGAAGAAUAAGCACCGGCUAACUACGUGCCAGCAGCCGCGGUAAUACGUAGGGUGCAAGCGUUAAUCGGAAUUACUGGGCGUAAAGCGUGCGCAGGCGGUUUUGUAAGUCUGUCGUGAAAUCCCCGGGCUCAACCUGGGAAUUGCGAUGGAGACUGCAAGGCUAGAAUCUGGCAGAGGGGGGUAGAAUUCCACGUGUAGCAGUGAAAUGCGUAGAGAUGUGGAGGAACACCGAUGGCGAAGGCAGCCCCCUGGGUCAAGAUUGACGCUCAUGCACGAAAGCGUGGGGAGC